rnacentral:lncRNA from 1 species
CCAGACUCUGAAAGACUACUGAGCAACAGAAAGGAAGAAACUGACAGGAGGACAGGAGGGAGCAAGGGAAAGGAGUAGGAGGCGGAGAGGAGAGAGGAUUCAAAGUAAAGGAGAAAAGAAAUUAUACCUAGACACGGGGAAGCUAUAGAACUCCAAAGGACCUUAAAAGAAGCCAGAGGGAAAAGACAGACUAUUUACAAAUAACAACUAGCCUGUCAGCCCACGUGGCAGCAACAGCAAUGGAAUCAGAAGACAGUUGAUUUUAAUACAGGGUAACAAUCCAGAAUUGCACACCAGGUAACUUAUCAUUCCAGAGCAAAAAUAUCAUUCCACACAAAAACUGAGGUUACCACCAAGAGAUGCUCCCUGAUGGAGCUUCUAAGAGACAAAUCUCAAGAAGAAAGAAAAUGAUCCCAGAAGCCAGUUUCUCAGGACAGUCGAGUCCCAGCAGCUCAGUUAGCGUCAAGGUGCUGGGAGACCUUCUGGGGACCACAUCACCAUCCUGGGCUGCGUGUCAGGUCUGUGCAGCAGCUCCACUAUUUCCAUGCCCUGCUUAGGGCAGGGGCACUGCUGGCAAAGCUGGGACCGCAGGUGAGGCGGGGUCCCUGCCACCUGCAGGACCACAGACUCCUUUCCUUUUUAGCUUGGAGGAAAUCCCGUCUCUUUUCUUGAUUCCUUCAGAGACACUACCUCUCUCCUGUUGCUAUAAAACACUGAGCAUAACUGGGCUUUCAGCUUUUGAAAAUCUGACUAUCUCAAAAAAAUUUCCACUAUCCAUUUAUAUAUUCCUCCACACCAGAGAGCACAUCCCAUGUCAGGCUGUGUGCUGGGAGGCCCCUGCCCAGGAGGGGCUUCCUGCGCAGCCACGAAGAUGCACUAGCUGGCUGCAAGCAUGACACUGCAAGGUAAGUGAAGUGACAGCGGGACUGGGCACCCAGCAGGCAAGUCCUCCCAGACAGACGGGGCAUAGGAAGCCUUCCGGGAGGAAGAGACAUUAAGCUGGGAUCUGAAGGGGUAGGAAACAGGUACCUGGCUCAGCAGGCUGUGGGAAAGAUGGUCUCAGCAGGGUUUACCCCAAAAUUGCUCUUCUCCAUAUUUUUUGCUCCAAUAUCUGUGGAGUUAAUUACACCUAGCGGUAUCUCAACCCUUGCUGUCAAGGGUCUCUGAGAACAUUUGAGUUUUAUAAGACCCCUCAUUUUUGUCCAGUGAAGCUUUUCAGGUGUUUUCUAAGAUAAAACAAUAGUUACGUCCUACGUAAUGUUCUUUAAAUUGCCUUCUAACUGCAUUUGAUGGUACAUCAGUUAAAGUGUGUCCUUAGAGCCAUCUCUUCUAAGAUUGAAAGAUAACCUACCUUGAAUGAGAAUUUUUUUGGAGGGGGAAAGUUACUAUGAGAUACGGUUAAACUCCUUUUUACUAUUUGCCUUACUCUUCUAUUACCUAAACCCUGAGAAAAUCGGAUCCAACUACAUUGACUGAUGGAUGUUAGAAUGAUAGUCCACCUGGUUACUUAGCUGGGUCAUUUUAUGUGACUAUCUUAUAGUGUUUUCAUGAUGGGUAAACUGAGUCUUUAUUGUCCUGAACCACAAGGAAUUAGAAAGGGUUGAUUUGGGGAUCACACAAGCUAUUGUCAAUUAACCCAAAAGGUUUUAUAAUGUAACCCAGGAGAGCGUGUUGGAGGGAGGAGAGACAGAUGCUCUCUUAACAAAAUAAAUCUGGAGUAUUUUCAGCA